AUGGACGCGCAGUACAACCCCAGGACGGUGGAGGAGGUCUUCCGGGAUUACAAGGGCCGCCGCAACGGCCUCGCCCGCGCGCUCACCACCGAUGUGGAGGAAUUCUUCCGGCAAUGCGACCCGGAAAAAGAAAAUUUGUGCCUUUAUGGGUUUCCCAAUGAGCAUUGGGAAGUAAACUUACCUGCUGAAGAAGUGCCACCUGAGCUCCCAGAGCCAGCAUUGGGCAUCAACUUUGCACGAGAUGGAAUGCAGGAAAAAGAUUGGCUAUCCAUGGUUGCAGUACACAGCGACGCAUGGUUACUAUCUGUUGCAUUCUACUUUGGUGCUCGAUUCGGAUUUGAUAAAAGUGACAGGAAGCGCCUGUUUGGUAUGAUUAAUGAGCUUCCCACGAUUUUUGAUGUUGUUAGUGGGAAGAGUAAAACCAAGGCUCCGACCAACAAUAACCACAGCAAUAGCAAAUCCAAGUCCAACAAUAAAAUGCAGAAAACCUCGGAGCCUCGGGCGAAGCAGCCCAAGCCCCAGCUGAAGGAGGAAGAUCAUGAGGACGAAGCCCCGGAUGCGGGCGAGGAUGGUGGAGGCGCCGCCGGCGGUGGCGGUGGCGGGGAAGAGCACGGCGAUACGCUGUGCGGCGCGUGUGGGGACAACUACGGGCAGGACGAGUUCUGGAUCGGCUGCGACAUGUGCGAGAAGUGGUUCCACGGCAAGUGUGUCAAGAUCACGCCGGCCAAGGCGGAGCACAUCAAGCAGUACAAGUGCCCGUCGUGCAUGGGCGCCAACGGCGGCGGCAGCGGCAGCAACAAGCGGGCGCGCCCGUCCUCCUAA
rnacentral:rRNA from 1 species